rnacentral:tRNA from 1 species
GAAUAUGAAGUAAUAAAUUACAAUUAGUUUCGACCUAAUUUUAGGUAAUAAUACCCUUAUUCU